rnacentral:sRNA from 1 species
CUAAUAUUUUUAUAAACAAAUUGGUUUUGCGCAGCUCAACGGAUGAGGAGCUUGGAAGCGGCUCGCAUGCGGUUUCCAUACAUGUGGCGCCCUCUGGCUGUCAGCGUUUGCCACUUUAAUUACUUUGCCUCUAAGGAUGCGGAGAUUUUCGCGUUUUUUGCAACGUCCUGGCUUGGGCCGUUUUGGUUUUUGUGCCGGCCCUGUUGCAUUUGACAGGACAACUCCUCACCAGUCCGGGCCAUAACCAGCUGCGCUGAAAAGCAACUCAACUGGGCUCGUUAUUUAUGGCCCUGCCCCCGUCGUCGCUCACCUCGAAAAACGUUUGCCAAAACUCGGACGGCAAAAUGGCCAAAAACGUGCGAUCCCUGGUCGAGCUUCUGCACUUAAGCCCCUGGAAAACUGAAAAACUGAAAAACUGCAAAACCUUGCCGUGCCGGCUGUUUUGUUUGUCAUUGCAUUACUUUGGCUGUUAAAUCGCCUACUGGAGUUUAGUAUUGCAGUCGCAGCACCCAGACUCCAACUUCUCUGCGCUCUCUCUUUCAAUAUUUGUCGCUUUGGGGCAUUAAAACAAA